GGCUGGCGAUUUGGAGCUGGAGUGGACUGGCGUGCGGGCUCACCUAUGGCCUGUCGGAGGGGAUCCACGCAGAGGUUAGCAAGUCCUACUCCCAGCUGGCCAAGACCCCCUAGGUGAAGAAGAAAACGGUGAGACCAGACUGUAAAUCUAUCCUGAGCAUCACAGUGGAAUAUGACUCCUUCUGUCUGAAGGCUGGAACCAGGGGCUAGGAACACAUUUGGAGGAGGACAACUGUAAAAUUCAGGUAAUGAAGAGACAUCUCAACUGAGGACUUACUACAGGCUACUCAUCAAGUACAUGGCAUAGACUCAAUCCCAUCCCCUGAGACCUGGAGGAAGACUCCCACUGUGCCAUUUAUGUCUGAACUUUCUUGGGUGGCCCUUCUAUGCUGCUGUCUCCCCCUCUACAGUGUUAAUAAUUCCUCUGAUAAAUCUCUUACCCCAAAAGAACAAA
ensembl:antisense Gm17232 predicted gene 17232